rnacentral:lncRNA from 1 species
UUUCUGAUGGCCCCAUGAGCGUGAACCUGGGCUGGUUCCGGGCAUUUCCUCCUCCAAUGGGAGAUGUUGCAGCUGUGGCCAUUGAGAUCACUGGAGGAGCACUCUUGUUCGUGGGAUUGUCUGGUUUGGAUUUGAAACUUCUAGCUUGGUUCUCAGAACCAGGGCUUUUCUCUUGCUGACCACUGGACUUCAAUGCUGAAUCUUCCAGGUUGUUGUCCUCGCUCUUGCUUGUUUUCUCCCCUGAUCCAUUCUCUUCGUGGUCCUUGACUUCCUCCAUGUACAUUUCUUCCACCAUUGGCUUCCAGAGACGAACCCGAGCAUUUAUGAACCAG